rnacentral:tRNA from 1 species
GGGCCCGUAGCCCAGCCCGGAUAGGGCGUUGGUCUUCGGAUAGUUAGGAGAUAACCAAAAGUCGUGGGUUCAAAUCCCUCCGGGCCCA